AUCGAUAGGACGCGUUGCAGUCCUGGCAAGCGCAGUUAUUGGCAGCUGCCAGCCCUGUUCUUGUGGAGUAAUAAAAAUAAUACAAAAACUGUUCGAAAUGAACGAAAAUUCCUAAAACAAAGUAUUGGAAAGUAAUGCAUUAACUUAUAUAUAGUGAAAGACAUGUGCAUUUCUUACAUAUAAGUGGAAGCCGGAAUUCAUCAUGUAAAUGUUGACAGCUUAUGAUUUAAAAAGGAAAGAAAAGAGAAGAGCAUACAAUCAAAGUGGAUCAUUAAGCAUCGGCUUUAAGCCGCUAAGCAAAUGUAGUUAAAAGGGGACAUGUGUGCGGCGUCCAGUUAACAACACUGGUGUAGCCAGAGCCCGGUUGCCAACCAAAACCAAAUAAUAAAAUCAAAACAAGUAUACAAGCAGUGUGUAUAUGUGUGUGAGUCUGUGUGCGAGUGUGUGCGUGUUAACGCUUGGAAUGGAGCUUCAAAGCGAAGCAAGCAAAUAAACGUGCUGGAAAAACAGAAAUGCAAGCGCACACUGACCAACACUGUCGCUGUUCCCCUUGUGUCAUUUAAUAGCACUGUUUCGCACAGUAUUUUUUUUGUAUUUGCACUGGCGCUGGUAUUUUUGUAUUUUACAUUGCUCUUCAUUUUCGUUUUGCUCUUUGGUACGUACAGACGUGUAAGCGCGCGUUUUUCCGUCGUCGUCGCUGUUGUCGUGAUUUCGUCUUUUCGCGUGUGGCAACAAACAAAAUAUUAAAUUACAUUUAUAAAUCAAAUCAAUCAAAUUACA